rnacentral:rRNA from 1 species
UACAGGGGGGGCAAGCGUUGUUCGGAAUUACUGGGCGUAAAGGGCUCGUAGGUGGCCAACUAAGUCAGACGUGAAAUCCCUCAGCUUAACUGGGGAACUGCGUCUGAUACUGGAUGGCUUGAGUUUGGGAGAGGGAUGCGGAAUUCCAGGUGUAGCGGUGAAAUGCGUAGAUAUCUGGAGGAACACCGGUGGCGAAGGCGGCAUCCUGGACCAACACUGACACUGAGGAGCGAAAGCGUGGGGAGCGAACAGG